rnacentral:rRNA from 1 species
UCCUACGGGGCGCAGCAGUGGGGAAUAUUGGGCAAUGGGCGCAAGCCUGACCCAGCAACGCCGCGUGAAGGAAGAAGGCUUUCGGGUUGUAAACUUCUUUUGACAGGGAAGAGCAGAAGACGGUACCUGUCGAAUAAGCCACGGCUAACUACGUGCCAGCAGCCGCGGUAAUACGUAGGUGGCAAGCGUUGUCCGGAUUUACUGGGUGUAAAGGGCGUGUAGCCGGGCUGACAAGUCAGAUGUGAAAUCCGG